GACGAACGCUGGCGGCGUGCUUAACACAUGCAAGUCGAACGGAAAGGCCCUGCUUUUGUGGGGUGCUCGAGUGGCGAACGGGUGAGUAACACGUGAGUAACCUGCCCUUGACUUUGGGAUAACUUCAGGAAACUGGGGCUAAUACCGGAUAGGAGCUCCUGCUGCAUGGUGGGGGUUGGAAAGUUUCGGCGGUUGGGGAUGGACUCGCGGCUUAUCAGCUUGUUGGUGGGGUAGUGGCUUACCAAGGCUUUGACGGGUAGCCGGCCUGAGAGGGGGACCGGCCCAGUGGGGAACGGGAGGCGGCCGGAGGCCAUCGGGGGGGAAGGGGGGGGGAAUUUGCCAAAAGGGGCGGAGGACUGAAGAAGAAACGCGGGUGGGGGGGGGCGGGCGUUGGGGUGGAAAACGGGUUUGGCUUGGAAGGAAGCGUUGGGACGGGAAAUGGGGAAAAAGGCACGGCUAACUACGUG
rnacentral:rRNA from 1 species